rnacentral:tRNA from 1 species
GCCCGGGUGGCGGAAUUGGUAGACGCAGCAGACUUAAAAUUUGCCAGCUUUCCAGCUGUACGGGUUCGAUUCCCGUCCCGGGCACCA